GUCACCUUUGUAAGUUGUAGGACCCCUUUUCCAGAGCCACAUCCUGGCUAUCUUAUUACUCUCUCUGUUUGCCUUCAUCACCUUCACAUGAAUCCUUUUCAGAUGCCUGAGCUCCCUAAAACCCAAACAAGCUCUUCAUCUCUCCACCUGCUAAGCCAGCCUGCCAAAGCUUACAUGUUUGCACUGGCUUCUUCAAGGAACUCCAUGUGUAACUACAGCACAAAUGGAAGCACUAGUGACAAAGAAGGGAAAGAAGAAAGAGGUGGAGAAAUCACCUCUGUUCUCUAGGAAGGAAAGUCCUGUUGGUAGGCCCUGGUUCCAAGCGAGUGCAGCAGAGGAACCCCUGAGAAUUCACACACAGGCACAGGACUCUGCUGUAGGCCUCAUGCAAAAUUGGAUAUCAAGAUAAAGAAUUAGCACCAACAAUACUAUUUGUCAAAUGUAGAACAGAACACAAAGGAAAGAGAAUCUAAACAUCGCACGAUGAAAUGUAUUAUGUAGAGCAGCUGGAAACAUUAUUUCCAGGACUUUUUGAAG